ACCCAGAGCAAAGACAACGGUGAACCCAGAGAAAAGAUGACAGUGAACCCAGGGAAAAGACAAUGGUGACCCAGAGAAUAUACAACUGUGGGGCCAGAGAAAAUAUGACAGUGAACCCAGAGGAAAAAUGACAGUACACCCAGAGAAUAUACGAUAGUGAACACAGAGAAUUGACAAUGGUGAACCCAGAAAAAAGACGAGGGUGCACACAGAGAAUUGACAACGGUGAACCCAUAGAACAUACAAAGUGAACCCAGAGAAAAGAUGAUAGUGAACCCAGAGAAAAGACGACAGUGAAAACAGAGAAAAGUUGAUGGUGAACCCAGAGAAAAGACAAUGCUGAACCAAGAGAAAAUACAACAGUGAACCCAUAGAAAAGACGACAAUGUACCCAGAGAAAAAGACAAUGGUGAAUGUAGAGAAAAUUCGACAGGAACCCAGAGAAAGGAUGACAGUGAACCCAGAGAAAUGAUGAUGGCACACCCAAGAAAAUAUGACAGUGAACCCAGAAAAAAAACCAAAGAUGAACCCAGAGAAAAGAUGACGGUGCACCCAGAGAAUAGACAACAGUGAACUCGGAGAAAUUAUGACAGUGAACCCAAAGAAAAGACUACAGUGAACCCAGAGAAAAGACGACCUUGCACCCUGAGAAAAUACAACAGUGAACCCAGAGAAAAGACGAUGGUGAACCCAGAGAAAAGAUGACAGUGAACCCAGAGAAAAUACAACAGUGAACUCAGAGAACAGUGAACCCAGAGAAAAGACGACGGUGAAUCCAGAGAAAAGACAACAGUGAACCCAGAGGAAAGACGACAGUGAAUCCAGAGAAAAGAUGAUGGUGAAACCACAGAAAAGACGACAGUAAACCCAGAGGAAAGAUGACAGUGAAUCCAGAGGAAAGACGAUGGUGAACCCAGAGAAAAGACAACAGUGAACCCAGAGAAAAGACAACAGUGAACCCAGAGAAAAGACAAAAGUGAAUCCAGAGAAAAGACGACGGUGAACCCAGAGAAAAGACGAUGGUGAACCCAAAGAAGAGAUGACAGUGAACCCAAAGAAAAGAUGACAGUGAACCCAGAUAAAAGACGAUGGUCAAUGUAGAGAAAAUUUGACAGUUAACCCAGAAAAAAUAUGACCGGAAACCCAUAAAAACAACGAUGGUGAACUCAGAGAAAAGAUGAUCAUGCACCCAGAGAAAAGAUGACAGUGAACUCAGAGGAAAGACAAUUUUGCACCCAGAGAAAAUACAACAGUGAACCCAGAGUAAAGACAACAGUGAACCCAUAGAAAAGACAACAGUGAACCCAGAGAAAAGAUGACGAUGAACCCCCUAGAAAAGACGAUGGUGAACGUAGAGAAAAUUUGACAGUGAACCCCGAGAAAAGAUUACAGUGAACCCAGAGAAAGGACGAUGAUGCACCCAGAGAAUUUGACAGUGAACCCAGAAAAACGACGGUGAACCCAGAGAAAAGAUGACAGUGAACCCAGAUUAAUGAAGACAGUGCACCCAGAGAAAAGAUGACAGUGAACUAGAUAACAGACCGUGAACCAAGAGAAAAGAUGACAGUGAACCCAGAGAAAAAAAUGAUGGCACCAAGAGAAAAGAUGACGGUGAACCCAGAGAAAAGAUGACAGUGAACCCAGAGAAAAGACGAUGGCGAACCCAGAGAACAGACAUUGAACCCAUGGAAAAGACAAUGGUGAACCCAGAGAAAAUAUGACAGUGAACCCAUGGAAAAGACAACGGUGAACGUAGAGAAAAUUUGACAAUAAACUCAGAGACAAGAUGACAGUGAACCCAGAGAAAUGAUGAUGGUGCACCCAGAGAAUAUGACAGUGAACCCAGAAAAACAACGACGGCGAACCCAGAGAAAAGACGACGGUGAACCCAGAGAAAAUAUGACAUUGAGCCUAGAAAAAUGAUGACAGUUAACCCAGAGAAAAGAUGACCUUGCACCCAGAGAAAAUACAAUAGUGAACCCUGAGAAAAGAUGACAGUGAACCAAGAGAAAAUACGACAGUGAACCGAAAGAAAAGAUGACAGUGAACCCAGAGAAAAUACAACAGUGAACCCUGAGAAAAGACGACAAUGAACCCAGAGAAAAUACGACAGUGAACCCAGAGAA
rnacentral:lncRNA from 1 species